ACAGGGUGAGGGAAGGAAACCUUGAGGAAACAAAUGAAAGAAAUCUCCGAGCGGACGAAGAUGACAUCUGGGAGUGCUGGAAAGAUGUGGAAUUUUUAAGGAUGCCCGAUCUUCAUUUCUGCAUGGCCGGUCCACUUUUUUUCUUGAUCUGGUGGCUCGCGAUCUUCAUAACUUCCGUUGUAGCAGCUGGAGCUAAUUCCAUACCAGAGCACGGCGAAGAUUGUGAAAUUGCACAAACUAAAUGUUCCUACAGAGCGAAUUGCUACCAUGCUUUGCAUAGCUACAUGGUGGAUUGCGCGGAUGUCCUUGCCGGUCGCACAACUCGAUGUACUUAUGCCUGCAAGCGAGCUCUCAUCUCUCUGACGAGUUCUGAAGCUGGACAAACACUCGCCAAUUGCUAUUGCGGCAGCAAUGAGUUCUGUCUUCGUAGCAAAGAAAGAAUCGAAGUGUGCCGACCGGAAGUUAGCCACGCGACAGCUGAUAAUACUGUUGUAUCCUGUUCUGUAGCUAAAUGGAUUUGCGCUGCUGAUCCGCUGUGCUCUACAGCUCUUGACUACUACCACAGACUCUGCAGAUCUAUGUUCCACGGACGCAAAUGCACUCCUCGCUGCAACAACAGCCUCGCUAUAUUAGACAGGCAGGAGAAAGCCGGGAAAUUGAGAGAUUGCUAUUGCGAUGGUAGUGAAGAAUUUCCCUGUGUCAGUAUCAAGCAGAACACUCAAUUGCUGUGUUACGGACAAGAAUGGGUCAAUAACGAACUACAUAAUCCUGUUACAACGGAAGAGACAUUGCCUAGUUGCAGCAACAGGUUAUCUUCCUCUAUUCUUGGUUACUGUUUUCUGGUGUUUAUGGUGUUCAUGCUGAACCAUAGGACUAGUGGUGAAGAGCUAAACACAAGUUCUUCCCUAGAAAAUAGCGUGCCCCUCUCUCAAGCAACGUCCUGCUCAAUAACAAAGUUAAAACGAACUUUUGAUUGUGACAAACAGUGGCCAUGGUGGUGGACAUCAGAGCAACGUGUUACUUGAGAAUUGAAUAUUACUAUUGCAUGUUCGACUGGAGGAAAAUCCUUAAACGGUCGCCACAGGUGGCGAUCAAGUAAGUUAGAUGGCAAGCGAAACCUGAUGGAGGCAGCUGCCUGGGUAUUUCCUUCUAAAAGAAAGAAGAAACAGAUUCAUUUGCAUUUCUUGCUGAAACCGGUGUUGAAAAAAUAUUACAGAGGAAUAUUAAAUGUAUUUUAAAUCUUUUACCCUAAGAAUAUGGACUAUAGAGAUUUACUAUAAUGAGGCAGCUCUGUUUAUUUCUUUGCUAAGAAUUUCUAAUGGUGCGUUAAUAUUCUUGUAAAACGUAAUUCCAUCAAUGUAAUAAUCUUCAUUGUUAUAUUCCUUUAAUCUAAGUUAUGAAUUUAAGGAAAAAUAAUAUUAUUGUUGAUUCACGUAAAAUUUAUUAAAUGCAAUUGUUAAACUUGUUUUGAUUGUCCUUAGUAUUUUGAUAAAUGAUAGUUCCAUCAAUGAUCUACAUUGUUGUAAUACUGAAAUAUGAAUUGGAAGAUAGCAUUUCCAGUUACGUAUUAUUGUUGAUUCAAGAAAAAUUUUUUAAAUGUAAUUGUUGAUAUUUUUUUUUAAACUUUGUUUUAUUUUGAUUGUUUGUAAUAUUUUCAUAAAUGAUACUUUCAUCAAAGUAAUGAUCUACAUUGUUAUAGUUUUAAAAUAUUUAAUCGGAAUUAACAAUUUAGGAUAAUGUUUUAUUGUUCAUUUUAAGUUAAGUCUAUUAAAUGCAAUUUUUUAUAAUUUUUGCUUUAUCUUAUAAAAAACGUAAGAUUAUUUUAACCUAGUGAAUAAAUAUUAUGAUAUUUGUUCCUUUUUUUAUAAAAUAUAAAAUGUUUAAGUUAUUAGGUACAGUUGUUUAAAUAUUUAUUUUAAAGAAAUAUUUUGCUAACUUUUUCAAAUCCUACUUUUAUAGAAGAAAAUCUAACAUACUAGAGAUUUUUAAAGGAGAAAAAUAAAUAAUUUUGACAUCUAUUAUUUAUUUAAAUCUUGAUUGUUAUGUUUACUACGGUUUAAAACUGUUUAUCCGAGUUGCUAGGAUGUUUACGAUAAGUUUUCAAAUCUUUCAUAAGCCCUUAAGCAAAAUAAAAAAAUAUAUCAUUUUAUAGAACUUUAAUGGUAUGAUUAAUAAAUGAUAUGAUUUAGCUUUAUUUAUCUACCUCUUGCUUGUUUACUAAAAAUGUUGCCAGUAAGGGUAACAAUCUUGUACAACAAAUAACCAAAGUUGUAUUUUUUUUUUAUUAAAUCAAAAAGUUGUAUUUACAUUGAAUAAGAAUAAGAAAGAUGUUUUUAUUGAAAUAUUUUAUUUAAGUUAUAUUCCUAAUAUUGUAAAUAUAUUUGUUAAUGGGUUUUGUAAACUCUGUAUUAUACAAGUUCCUUCUAUAGAAUAAUCAAAAGUUUUUGUUUUAACCUUAGAUAACUAAACAUUCGUCCAAAUGACUACCAACCCAGUUUUGCAUAUGCUGGGAUGUUACCCUAACAUCUUUAAAACGUUAUCUGAAUUACACGUUAACAAAGACGAUAUCUAGACAGUCUAAACGUUGAAUUAUGUCACUUAUCUUUAUUUGUUUGAGUUAGCUUUGCUAAUUUGGUGUUGCUAUGUUAAAUAUAGGAAAUAUAAAACUAAACUCAUUUUUUAAUUCAUAGUAUAUGACUUAAGUAUCUUAUGUUUAGUUAUCUGGUUUAUGUUUAGUUAUCUAGAGUUAAUGUUAGUUAUCUAGAGAUAUUCGAAAGAAUGAUUUACAAAGAAUAUUUUAUAUCAAUUGUAUCAAAGUAUAUUAUUGCGAUAAUUUAAUAUGUAUUGAUUCGAAACAUAAUAUUUUAUUGUUUUUUUCUUCUUCAUAAAUUAGUAAUCAAUACUUAUUGAUUUUGUUGCAUUCUUUCAGUUGUUGUAUUAUUCCCUUAUAUCAUAUCUUAUAUUGAACAAGCUUUUAAAUAUUUACAUUGGCAUUUAUAUCAGUUUUCUGUCUACAGUUAAAAUAACAAUUUCAUAUUUUUAAUAUUACUGUAAACAUUCGUAAAUAUGUGUUAUAAUAAAUUGAAAGGUUUUUGUUAUAAAUCAUUUCUGUUCUAUACUUUUAAAAUUAAAUUUGCAUUAUCAAUUUUAAAUAACUAUAACUAGUCUACAUGUUUACUGUUUUAAUAUGGAGGCAUUUUUUUCUUCAGUUAAAAUAAUAUUUAACUUUCAAUUACCUUGCGAUGGUUAUUGUAAAACAACUGAAAUAAAUUAAUAUUUAUUUGAAUAAUCUUUUAAUGUUUUCUAAAGUUUUGUUUUACCCUUUCAAUUAAAAGAAAAAUAAUUAAUUGAUGGAAAAUAUAUUUGUAAAUUAUUUUUAUUGUAUUAUAGUUGUAAAAGUAAUUAUAUAAUUGAAUUAGACAAAUUUUUAAAAAAAUCAGAUAUAAUAAUGUACCAAUGAUAUGAAAAGUGUAUAAGAAAAAUAAAUUUAUUUGGAAUUUU